UACGUAGGGUGCAAGCGUUGUCCGGAAUUAUUGGGCGUAAAGAGCUCGUAGGCGGUCUGUCGCGUCUGCUGUGAAAACUCAGGGCUUAACCCUGAGCUUGCAGUGGGUACGGGCAGACUAGAGUGCGGUAGGGGAGACUGGAAUUCCUGGUGUAGCGGUGAAAUGCGCAGAUAUCAGGAGGAACACCGGUGGCGAAGGCGGGUCUCUGGGCCGUAAGCUG
rnacentral:rRNA from 1 species